AAAUUGAAGAGUUUGAUCAUGGCUCAGAUUGAACGCUGGCGGCAGGCCUAACACAUGCAAGUCGAACGGUAACAGGAAGCAGCUUGCUGCUUUGCUGACGAGUGGCGGACGGGUGAGUAAUGUCUGGGAAACUGCCUGAUGGAGGGGGAUAACUACUGGAAACGGUGGCUAAUACCGCAUAACGUCGCAAGACCAAAGAGGGGGACCUUCGGGCCUCUUGCCAUCAGAUGUGCCCAGAUGGGAUUAGCUAGUUGGUGAGGUAACGGCUCACCAAGGCGACGAUCCCUAGCUGGUCUGAGAGGAUGGCCAGCCACACUGGAACUGAGACACGGUCCAGACUCCUACGGGAGGCAGCAGUGGGGAAUAUUGCACAAUGGGCGCAAGCCUGAUGCAGCCAUGCCGCGUGUAUGAAGAAGGCCUUCGGGUUGUAAAGUACUUUCAGCGGGGAGGAAGGUGUUGUGGUUAAUAACCGCAGCAAUUGACGUUACCCGCAGAAGAAGCACCGGCUAACUCCGUGCCAGCAGCCGCGGUAAUACGGAGGGUGCAAGCGUUAAUCGGAAUUACUGGGCGUAAAGCGCACGCAGGCGGUCUGUCAAGUCGGAUGUGAAAUCCCCGGGCUCAACCUGGGAACUGCAUUCGA
rnacentral:rRNA from 1 species